UACGGAGGGGGCUAGCGUUGCUCGGAAUGACUGGGCGUAAAGGGCGCGUAGGCGGAUUGCUUAGUUAGGUGUGAAAUUCCUGGGCUUAACCUGGGGACUGCACUUAAUACAGGUAGUCUAGAGUGAGGAAGAGGGUUGUGGAAUUCCCAGUGUAGAGGUGAAAUUCGUAGAUAUUGGGAAGAACACCGGUGGCGAAGGCGGCAACCUGGUCCUUUACUGACGCUGAGGCGCGAAAGCGUGGGGAGCAAACAGG
rnacentral:rRNA from 1 species